rnacentral:rRNA from 1 species
GAUGAACGCUGGCGCCGUGUCUAACACAUGCAAGUCGAACGAGGUAAAUGAGAUGAAGUUUUCGGAUGGAUUCUUAUUUACCGAGUGGCGGACGGGUGAGUAACGCGUGGGUAACCUGCCUCAUACAGGGGGAUAACGAUUGGAAACGAUUGCUAAUACCGCAUAAGCGCACAGUACCACAUGGUACGGUGUGAAAAACUCCGGUGGUAUGAGAUGGACCCGCGUCUGAUUAGCUAGUUGGUGAGGUAACGGCCCACCAAGGCGACGAUCAGUAGCCGACCUGAGAGGGUGACCGGCCACAUUGGGACUGAGACACGGCCCAGACUCCUACGGGAGGCAGCAGUGGGGGAUAUUGCACAAUGGAGGAAACUCUGAUGCAGCGACGUCGCGUGAGUGAAGAAGUAUUUCGGUAUGUAAAGCUCUAUCAGCAGGGAAGAAAAUGACGGUACCUGACUAAGAAGCCCCGGCUAACUACGUGCCAGCAGCCGCGGUAAUACGUAGGGGGCAAGCGUUAUCCGGAUUUACUGGGUGUAAAGGGAGCGUAGACGGCGACGCAAGUCUGAAGUGAAAUACCCGGGCUCAACCUGGGAACUGCUUUGGAAACUGUGUUGCUAGAGUGCUGGAGAGGUAAGCGGAAUUCCUAGUGUAGCGGUGAAAUGCGUAGAUAUUAGGAAGAACACCAGUGGCGAAGGCGGCUUACUGGACAGUAACUGACGUUGAGGCUCGAAAGCGUGGGGAGCAAACAGG